rnacentral:piRNA from 1 species
UGCCCAGCAUCAGCCUGCCUUACAUCC